CGAGAUUUGUGUGUCCGUGAGACGCGCGACUGAUCAUCAAGGGGGGCGAAGAAGGAAAGAAAGAAAAAGGAAUAUAAAAAGCGACAGAGCGACACCGAAAGCGAAGAAGGAAGCGAGUGACUUUCCCCAGCAGACGCGCACACACACACACAAGCACAGCUUACGGUGCAGCGACAGGAAGUGGAGGAGGAUUUCAGCCUCCAUAGAGAAACUCCAGUUGAAAGCGGAGCUGUCCAGGGUGGGUGCUGCUGCAGACCCUCAUGCAGACCCAUGUUCCACACCAGCAGUCGCGCUUACAGAAAACUGAAGAUACGGAUCUGAAUGGGAAGGAUGCAAAGGUGGAUGCAGUCAGUGUUGGAUUCAGUUUCACUGAGUCCUAAUGGAACACACACACACACACACAUACUGCAUGGUUUUUAAUACUAUCUACUUCCCCCUUUCUUUGAGAGGGCAUGGAUACACCCUGAAUAGGCUCCUGUGGUGAUCUGCAUUGUGGUUGGGAAGUACCUAGUGUUACAACUGCCAUGCUGGUCUUCUUAAAGGGCCAGUGCUGCUGAUCACUUUCAUGCGCAGUGUACGUUCCCCUGUCUGGGCUUUUCAAUCACCUGUGUAGCUGGAUGUUUCAGACGUAAUAUCGAGCAAGCAAUUUUUCUGUGCAGAGUUUAGGAGUCAACAAGGGUGAUUUCUGACUCAUCGGGACGUAAAAUUAGCUCACUUGAAAUGCAAAAAGAGUUGCAGGAGAUGGACGUUGGUCUACUCAAAUCAAAACUUGACAAAUCUAUAAUUGCUUUGGUCAUGAUUAUUUAGUCCUGAAUAUAUCGAGAAUUCGUGAUACAGUAAAUAAAGUCCAAGGACUGUUUAUGAAACCACAUACAUUUCUACUCGCGUGUCCAGCAGGCAACUUGUAUUCCUUUUCUCUUACUUUACGUUGUUGUAUGUUUUGAAAAGCACACGUGUUUUAAAUAAAUAUUUCACUCUGGCAGAUUCACCA